UUAAUUGAAGCCAAAUUAGAGGCAACUUAUUGUUAAUAAGUUAAUUGAUAAUUUAUCCAAUUAAA
rnacentral:tRNA from 1 species